rnacentral:rRNA from 1 species
AUAAUGCAGUCGAGCGGACGGAUGGGAGCUUGCUCCCUGAAGUCAGCGGCGGACGGGUGAGUAACACGUGGGCAACCUGCCUGUAAGACUGGGAUAACUCCGGGAAACCGGGGCUAAUACCGGAUAACUCUUUUCCUCACAUGAGGAAAAGCUGAAAGAUGGUUUCGGCUAUCACUUACAGAUGGGCCCGCGGCGCAUUAGCUAGUUGGUGAGGUAACGGCUCACCAAGGCCACGAUGCGUAGCCGACCUGAGAGGGUGAUCGGCCACACUGGGACUGAGACACGGCCCAGACUCCUACGGGAGGCAGCAGUAGGGAAUCUUCCGCAAUGGACGAAAGUCUGACGGAGCAACGCCGCGUGAGUGAUGAAGGUUUUCGGAUCGUAAAACUCUGUUGUCAGGGAAGAACAAGUACCGGAGUAACUGCCGGUACCUUGACGGUACCUGACCAGAAAGCCACGGCUAACUACGUGCCAGCAGCCGCGGUAAUACGUAGGUGGCAAGCGUUGUCCGGAAUUAUUGGGCGUAAAGCGCGCGCAGGCGGUUCCUUAAGUCUGAUGUGAAAGCCCCCGGCUCAACCGGGGAGGGUCAUUGGAAACUGGGGAACUUGAGUGCAGAAAAGAAGAGUGGAAUUCCACGUGUAGCGGUGAAAUGCGUAGAGAUGUGGAGGAACACCAGUGGCGAAGGCGACUCUUUGGUCUGUAACUGACGCUGAGGCGCGAAAGCGUGGGGAGCAAACAGGAUUAGAUACCCUGGUAGUCCACGCCGUAAACGAUGAGUGCUAAGUGUUAGAGGGUUUCCGCCCUUUAGUGCUGCAGCAAACGCAUUAAGCACUCCGCCUGGGGAGUACGGGCGCAAGGCUGAAACUCAAAGGAAUUAACGGGGGCCCCCACAAGCGGUGGAUCAUGUGGUUUAAUUCCAAGCAACGCCGAGAACCUUACCAGGUGUUGAGAUCUCCGGAC